rnacentral:lncRNA from 1 species
GGAGGGGCCAAGAGGUCAUCCAGAAACCUUGACGAACAGAAGGGUUCUGCUUCUGCUAUCACUUGUGCAGUGGAUUGUGCAGUGGAUAAAGAUAAGGAACACCGAAUCAAGCGCGGCCUUGACGAAGAGAAGGGUUCUGCUUCUGCUAUCACUUGUGCAGUGAAUAAAUAUAAGGAGCUCCGAAUCAAACGGCUAAGGGAACAGGCUCGUAAGGAAAUUUUGAGGGUUGAAGAGGCUGCUCGAUUGAAAGUCGAGAAUCCUUUACAAGAUCUUCAACAACUCAACUUGUUGUGCACUGGUGGCAUCAAACAGGAUUCUUGUUACAGGGUGUAUCGUUGGUUGACACUUGAGAAGUUGGGCAUCUAUUUGAAGAGGGAUGAACUUGAACAUGUUUAUGAAGAGGAUGAAUUUCACAUUGGAGAUUGGGAAGAAGAUGGAGAACAGAGUCCACAAACAACGAAAUAUUACAUCCACAUAUGGUGGCAUAUCAUCAUCAUCAAGUGAGUAUUUGA